AAAAGCAAAAGUUAAUGAUAAAUGAGCAAAAUACACAGGUGUUGCAUGGCUGUCUUCAGUUCGUGUCGUAAGACGUUAGGUUAAGUCCGUUAACGAACACAAGCCUUAGUAUUAGUUUAUACCUAAUGCUCACUUUUGACAGAAAAGUGCAAGGGGGACAAAGACAAGUCUUUAUGGCCUUUAUGCCGAGGGCUAUAGGCGUGCCGCAAAAUUUCCUACAAAAUGACGUAAUAUUGUGAAAUAAAACAAAUCAUAAAACGGAAAUCAGUACGAAUUAGAGUCUGAAAUUUGACUCUAUGAAGAAGGAAUUCUGAGUAAUCGUGAAUAAGUACGUCACGGUGAAUGUUAAAUUUGAAAUGUACUAACUGCACGUCACACGUUGAAAAAAAACAAAUGGGUAAGUGCCAAAAAAAGUUCUUUUUUAAGGUACCAGUCAUUUUUUUUGAUCGAGGUGAAGUCGUAACACGGAAAUUGUAUCGGAAGAUGCAGUUGAUUGAUAUACUCA
rnacentral:ncRNA from 1 species